GGGCGCAUAGCUCAGUUGGUAGAGCAGCUGACUCUUAAUCAGCGGGUCCCAGGUUCGAGUCCUGGUGCGCCCA
rnacentral:tRNA from 1 species